CCGCCGCUGGCCGCAGCUGCCGCCAGUCCGUCCGUCACUGCGUCCGUCUGUCUGGUCCACGUCGUCGCCGCCGCCGCCUCCUCAGCCCGGACGCCCGGGGCCCGCCCAGCGCCGCCCGGAGCAGCCGCGGCCCCGCGAGGAGACGGGCACCGCCCCCGCCCGGCCCUACCCUGCCCCCGCCCUCUUCCCCGUCUGUCCGUCCGUCCGUCCGUGCGUCCGUCCGCCGCCCCCCGCGCUUCCGUCCUUCCGUGCGGCCGCCCGCCCCCCGGCUCGAGUCCCCGCUCGGUCCGCUUUGUCUCUCCCCGGCUCGCUGUCUCUUUGUCUCUGCCCUGGCGCUCCUCGCAGCCCCUCCCUCGCUCCCCGGUCUCGGGGCCCCGGCGUAGCGCCCCUCUCCGACCUCAGAGCCGCCUCCGGGCGCCCCCACAGCUUUGGGGGCCGCUCCCACUGGCCCACAGCACAGAGGUCCCCCUGGGUCUGUCCGCAUCCUUUGGGGUGCUCCUUUCUAUCUGUGCCCCAAGUUCCUGGGGUCUUGCCUGCUCUGGGCUCCCAUUCUCCCAGGCGUCUCCUUCUUCCGAGAAUCCCCCAGACCCACUGGGACCUCUCAGAUCCCUUGGGGGUCUCGCCUUGGGACCCCUCGUGGCUCCCCAGCCCCCCCCCCUGCCUUGCCUUGGUUUGUCCCUUGGCUGUCUCCUGUUCUCUCCCAGCACCCCGCUUCUCUGGCUCGGGGCCCCUGCUUCGCCCUCCCUGCCCCUCGGAGCCGGUGUCUGUCUCAGGGGUCCCCCUGUGAGCCUGCUCCUCUGCCUGGGGCUCUUGGCCCCCGUGCUUCUCCGCCCGGCCCCCUGUCUCCCCUUCUCUCUUGCUCCCUUGUUUUCUCCCUCUCCCUCUUUCUGUCUUUGCCGGCUCUCUGGGUCUCUGACCCCAUCCGGCCCUCAUGGCUUUGUGUCUGGAGCUCUUGAAGCAAUGAGCCGUGUGAGGCAUUGUGUCGUCUGCCAAGCUCUUUCCUGACCAUUGUUCCUCACAGCCGUCUUGGAAGGAAGUCAGAAGCCAGUGGAGUUCUCUCCAGUUCUCAGAAGCAAGUCACCCUCCCCUGACAGUCCUGGCAGCAGACCCCAUUAAACCCGGCCAGGGUGAGGGCUGGGGCACUGAACAUGGAACAGGAAUGAAAUCCAGUUGUUGACAGGCGUUUGAUGAGGUUGAUGACGUGUGUGGUGUGAACACCUCUCCAGCUCCCGGGUUUCUCGGUCUGUGGCUUCCUUUCCUCACUCAGUCUGUACUGGAGUCAGCUGUGUUCCUCAUCACCCAUUUCUGGAAACCAAGGUUAGCGUAAAUAAACUUCCAACUCUAGAGCUAGGAGAUGAUUGUUUCUUGUUUCAGUGUGUGGGGUCCCAGAACGUGACCAAUGCCAGGGCCAGGCUAUAGUCAGAGCACCUUCUCCCCAACCCAGGCUCUCUGGUUUCUGGACGUUGCUGGCCUGGAUCAGCAGUGGAGACCAGGUGCACCGAGGCCUGGUGUGGCCAGUGAAUGGUCUCCUAGUAGGACAAGGGCAAGAGAGGCGGUCCCAGCUAUACUCAGCUUAGCCCAGAGCUGAAUUGGACUUGGAAAGCAUUACCAAGGCCUGUCCUCCCAGCCCUGGGCCUGGCUCUGAGAGAAUAGGGAGACAGACAAAGCGUCUGCCCCUGGGAACUUAGGUCUGACAGGGAGACAAGGCCUACAAUUAUGAGAGACUGUGUGACAGUCUGUAAUUAAGUGUCGGCUGAGGAAAAGCAUUGUCUGAGAAGGAAGGAGUGAGUGUGAG